rnacentral:lncRNA from 1 species
UAUAUGAACAAGACAAUGCUCUCUAAUAACAUUUAAUAGAUACCUUAGAUAAGAAGUACCUUCUUAUGUGCACUGUCCUCAUUCCAAUCUUUUUCCUUCCUUUGUACCAGAAUCAAACUGGAGCAAGAACUCUCUCUUUGACAGCCAAAUGCUUACAGGAGCAGUGGAUGCUAUGAUUUUUCUUUGACUUGCUGGACAGUACGGGCAGCAGGGGUAAUGUGUGUGUGAGUAUUCUUGUGCUUUUUUGCUGCCUCAUCACAGAACUUUGGCUUCUAACCAGACUGAAUGAUAUAGCGGUAUUCCGAUUGAUUUCUUUUUCUUUUCUAUCGCUGUGUGGGCUGACGUAACUGUGACAUAACAGUGCGCUCGCCUACCUGAUGUUCCUCCAUGAUUCAUGUGCUAACGGGUGUUCUGGUUGUCCUGGGCUGUGUCAGGCUGUAAAGUCAGAUGUGAGCCAUUUGCAGGGAAUGGCUUAACAUGCUCCUAAAGGAUCUGCAUGUACUAUCUCUUAGCAGUAUGACUCAUUCUUUUCCUUGGCAAAAAAACCCAAAACCUCCAUGGCUUUUAGAAAACAGACACCAGAAAAGCAUCUUCAGAAGAAAAAAAAGCAAAACUACUGAUUGCUGUUGGCAGGAAACCCUGAGCAAUCCCACAUGCAGGCCUCAGCCAAGUGGAAAAGGAAUGCUACACGAGGGAAGGAGAUCCACUGCCACGCUGUACAGUGGGCUGCUGGGAGGUGUGUCAGAGGAAUGACUAUGGCUUGACGUAGUCAAAUAGGACGCUGUUGAGGCCGCAUACUAAUAAUUAGGGUUAUUUCUCCUCAGGGCUUUAUUCAGUGAUGGAAAUGAAACGUAAAACGGAUGAAGAAGAUUAGGAAUGAGGUCUGAAAGGAUGUUGAUUAAAAGUGCAGCUUGUACUGUAACCACCUUUACUGUAAGAGAAUUCCCUAGUGGCUGAUUUGCUCUUGUGGUCUUAGUCCUUCUCAAAACAAUGAUACAAUGUUGGAAACUUUCU